CCGGUUGAUCCUGCCGGAGGCUACCGCUAUUGGAGUUCGAUUAAGCCAUGCGAGUCGAGAGUCUUAGGGACUCGGCGUACCGCUCAGUAACACGUGGGUAACCUGCCCUAUGCUGGGGAAUAACCUCGGGAAACUGAGAAUAAUGCCCCAUAGUUCACUACGCCUGGAACGGUGAGUGGAUGAAAGCUCCGGCGGCAUAGGAUGGGCCUGCGGCGUAUCAGGUCGUAGGGGGUGUAACGUACCCUCUAGCCAUCGACGCGUACGGGUGUUGGGAGACAUAGCCCGGAGAUGGAUUCUGAGACACGAAUCCAGACCCUACGGGGUGCAGCAGGCGCGAAAACUUGGCAAUGCGAGAAAUCGUGACCAGGGAACUCCAAGUGGCUGGGGUAAGACCCAGUCUUUUCUUGACUCUUCAAAGGUCUUGGAAUAAGAGGUGGGUAAGGACGGUGCCAGCCGCCGCGGUAAUACCGGCGCCUCAAGUGGUAGUCGAUUUUAUUGGGCCUAAAACGUCCGUAGCCUGUUUGGUACAUUCGUGGGUAAAUCAACCAGCUCAACUGGUUGAAUUCUGCGAGCACGGCCAGACUUGGGACCGGGAGAGGUGUGGGGUACGCUCAGGGUAGGGGUAAAAUCCUGUCAUCCUGAGCGGACCACCUGUUGCGAAGGCGCCACACUAGAACGGAUCCGACGGUCAGGGACGAAGCCUAGGGGCACGAACCGGAUUAGAUACCCGGGUAGUCCUAGGUGUAAACGCUGUGGACUUGGUGUUGGGGAUUCUCCGAGGAUUCUCAGUGCCGAAGCGAAGGUGAUAAGUCCACUGCCUGGGGAGUACGGUCGCAAGGCUGAAACUUAAAGGAAUUGGCGGGGGAGCACCGCAACCUGAGGAUUGUGCGGUUUAAUUGGAUCAACGCCGGG
rnacentral:rRNA from 1 species